GAUGAACGCUGGCGGCGUGCCUAAUACAUGCAAGUCGAGCGAACAGACGAGGAGCUUGCUCCUCUGACGUUAGCGGCUGACGGGUGAGUAACACGUGGAUAACCUACCUAUAAGACUGGGAUAACUUCGGGAAACCGGAGCUAAUACCGGAUAAUAUAUUGAACCGCAUGGUUCAAUAGUGAAAGACGGUUUUGCUGUCACUUAUAGCUGGAUCCGCGCCGCAUUAGCUAGUUGGUAAGGUAACGGCUUACCAAGGCAACGAUGCGUAGCCGACCUGAGAGGGUGAUCGGCCACACUGGAACUGAGACACGGUCCAGACUCCUACGGGAGGCAGCAGUAGGGAAUAUUCCGCAAUGGGCGAAAGCCUGACGGAGCAACGCCGCGUGAGUGAUGAAGGUCUUCGGAUCGUAAAACUCUGUUAUUAGGGAAGAACAAAUGUGUAAGUAACUAUGCACGUCUUGACGGUACCUAAUCAGAAAGCCACGGCUAACUACGUG
rnacentral:rRNA from 1 species